rnacentral:lncRNA from 1 species
CAAAAACCUCAAAGUGCUAUACAUGAGUUGAUAUUAUCUUUUGUGAUUUGAGAUUUAAAACUUGAAAAUUUAAGAUAAAAAUAUAGAGAAAAACAUUUAAAGCCUUAAUAUUUGUAACGAUAAUAUCGGCAUUUGUUGCCCUGUUGAUUGAUAAUCUCUCUGUUUCUUGAUUUGGCAAAGUAUAAAAGAUUGGUUAGGCUAAUGAGAGACGAGGAGUAGAGCCAGCUCUGCAAAUGUGUAGAAGGGUAGAUACAAAGAAUUGGAACUGCAUGUGCAAGAAUUAAAGAAGAAUAGAUAUUUGCUAUUACAAAAGGCUGCAAGUGGAUUUUAAUGCAGAAAAAUGAAAAGCAUAGGUCGGCAGAUGGAGGCUGCAGUUGAGAAAAGGACUCGCGCAUAUUAACAUGGGAGGUAAAAGACAAUGACCUCCUCCAAUUCUUGUCUCUAGCGCAAAAGGACUUCAUAUUAUACAUAAUUUUUAAAACCAAUUAGGCUUUUCUUUUCUUUUUUCUUUUGUUUUUUAACUUGCAAGAUUAAGAGUUAUAUAUAUAUAUAUAUAUAUAUAUGUAUCUUUUUCAUGCACAGAUUCUUAUUUCACUGGAAUAUUUUCUGAGUAUCUGGCGUGCCUUUUUUGACCAUACCUGCAUUAGAUUAUCUUUGCAAAGAGCUUUCUUUUUCUUUUCUUUUCUUUUUUUUUAUUUUUUUUUUAUUUUUUGCUUUUUAAGUUGCAGUAUGAGUGUUGAGUCUAUGAUAUGUAAAGAUAUCCUUUAGCCUUAAACCAGCAAGCUUACUAAUAACAAAAAAAAAAAAAAAAAAAAAAAAACAAUCUCAAACGUUCAUCCCAUAAUGUUACAAGUUCUUUAAGAUGCUAAAGAUCGCAAUAAAAUUUAUUCUUUAGAAAAUGCAUUCACUGAACAUUCGUGAAAGCUCACAAAUGGGUAAAAAAGGGGAGGAAAAACAAGAAAAUAUGAGCAUACAUAACUUAGGAAUCAACAAAAUUCAGUAGCAUCAUGACAAUGAAAUAGUUUAGGAUAAUAAAUCCUUUUAUUUUUCACAUUUAAACAUGGAAUCACAUGGAGGAUUCAGAAAUAGUAACAUACUACUCCCAGGAGAAAGACAGCGUCUGGAGGGAUCCAUUUGCAGAAGACCCGUCAGGUACAAUCUGAAACAUAUCCUGGCCAUGAAGAUUGGCAUUGCUACUGCCAUCAGAGACUAAAAC